rnacentral:rRNA from 1 species
GGGGAAUAUUGGACAAUGGGCGAAAGCCUGAUCCAGCAAUGCCGCGUGAGUGAUGAAGGCCUUAGGGUCGUAAAGCUCUUUUACCAGGGAUGAUAAUGACAGUACCUGGAGAAUAAGCUCCGGCUAACUCCGUGCCAGCAGCCGCGGUAAUACGGAGGGAGCUAGCGUUGUUCGGAAUUACUGGGCGUAAAGCGCACGUAGGCGGCUACUCAAGUCAGAGGUGAAAGCCCGGGGCUCAACCCCGGAACUGCCUUUGAAACUAGGUAGCUAGAAUCUUGGAGAGGCGAGUGGAAUUCCGAGUGUAGAGGUGAAAUUCGUAGAUAUUCGGAAGAACACCAGUGGCGAAGGCGACUCGCUGGACAAGUAUUGACGCUGAGGUGCGAAAGCGUGGGGAGCAAAC